rnacentral:rRNA from 1 species
UACGUAGGAAGCAAGCGUUGCCCGGAAUUACUGGGCGUAAAGAGCUCGUAGGCGGGGGCGUGCGUCCGGGAAGAAAUCUCAAGGCUCAACCUUGGGGCUAUCUCGGAUACGGCGCUUCUUGAGGGUGAGAGAGGAAAGUAGAAUUCCCGGUGUAGCGGUGAAAUGCGUAGAUAUCGGGAGGAAUACCAGCGGCGAAGGCGACUUUCUGGCUCAUUCCUGACGCUGAGGAGCGAAAGCGUGGGUAGCGAACGGGAUUAGAUACCCCGGUAGUCCACGCCGUAAACGAUGGAUACUAGGUGUAGGAGGUAUCGACCCCUUCUGUGCCGGAGUUAACACAUUAAGUAUCCCGCCUGGGGAGUACGGUCGCAAGGCUGAA